rnacentral:rRNA from 1 species
UGGGGAAUAUUGGACAAUGGGCGAAAGCCUGAUCCAGCGACGCCGCGUGUGUGAAGAAGGCCUGCGGGUUGUAAAGCACUUUCGAUGGGAACGAAAUGUGCCGGGUUAAUACCCCGGUAAGCUGACGUUACUCAAUGAAGAAGCACCGGCUAACUACGUGCCAGCAGCCGCGGUAAUACGUAGGGUGCAGGCGUUAAUCGGAAUUACUGGGCGUAAAGCGUGCGCAGGCGGCUCCUUAAGUCAGAUGUGAAAUCCCCGGGCUUAACCUGGGAACUGCGUUUGAAACUGAGGGGCUAGAGUGUGGAAGAGGGGGGUGGAAUUCCAGGUGUAGCAGUGAAAUGCGUAGAGAUCUGGAGGAACACCGAUGGCGAAGGCAGCCCCCUGGGCUAACACUGACGCUCAUGCACGAAAGCGUGGGGAGCAAACAGGAUUAGAUACCCUCGUAGUCCCUGAGCGGGCUGGCAAGGCGCAU